AUUGCACGCUGGCGGCAGGCCUAACACAUGCAAGUCGAGCGAGCGGCGGACGGGUGAGUAAUGUAUGGGGACUGCCCGAUAGAGGGGGAUAACUACUGGAACCGGUGGCUAAUACCGCAUACUAUCGGAUAACCCUUAUGGGAUUGGCUAGUAGGUGGGGUAAAGGCUCACCUAGGCCACGCUCUCUAUCUGGUCUGAGAGGAUAAUCAGCCACACUGGGACGUAUACACGGCCCAGACUCCUACGGAGGAAGCAGAGGGAAAUAUUGCACAAUGGGAGCAAGCCUGAUGCAGCCAGGACGCGUGUAUGAAGAAGGUCUUAGGGUUGUAAAGUACUUUCAGCGGGGAGGCGUUACCCGAAGAAGAAGAACCGGCGAACUCCGUGACAGCAGCCGCGGUAAUAC
rnacentral:rRNA from 1 species